rnacentral:rRNA from 1 species
UACGUAGGGGGCAAGCGUUGUCCGGAAUCAUUGGGCGUAAAGAGCGUGUAGGCGGCCAGAUAAGUCCGCUGUGAAAUCUCGAGGCUCAACUUCGAGCUGUCGGUGGAAACUGUCUGGCUAGAGUCCGGAAGAGGAGAAUGGAAUUCCUGGUGUAGCGGUGAAAUGCGCAGAUAUCAGGAGGAACACCGGUGGCGAAGGCGGUUCUCUGGGACGGUACUGACACUGAGACGCGAAAGCGUGGGGAGCGAACAGG